GGGCUGUAUCAGUGUGGGAGGCAACGAGUAGAAGGCACCUCCAGUGGAAGUUCUGACUGUGCCUAGCUACAUUCUCUAAAGGACCUGGUGCUGUACUUCUGAAAUAUUCACCCGAAUCCAGUGGAAUAUUUGCCCUGAGGCUGUUAGUCCACCUACAGUGCUUCAGCCCUUCUGGGAAAGAGGUAUCCUCCUCAGAUUCUCCAAGCCCUUCUACAAACUCCUCAUAUGUUGAAUUUUCUUGAAAGGGACGCUGUCCCAGCAGUUCUACCAUGUCAGCUUUGUCUAGAAUCUCUCUUUCUAGAAGACGUUUUGCUACCUGCAACACAUGAUCAAUAAUAAUAAACAACAAA